CCUACGGGAGGCAGCAGUAGGGAAUAUUGCUCAAUGGGGGAAACUCUGAAGCAGCAACGCCGCGUGGAGGAUGAAGGUUUUCGGAUUGUAAACUCCUUUUGUUAGAGAAGAUAAUAACGGUAUCUAACGAAUAAGCACCGGCUAACUCCGUGCCAGCAGCCGCGGUAAUACGGAGGGUGCAAGCGUUACUCGGAAUCACUGGGCGUAAAGAGCGCGUAGGCGGGAUAGCAAGUCAGAUGUGAAAUCCUAUGGCUUAACCAUAGAACUGCAUUUGAAACUGUUAGUCUAGAGUAUGGGAGAGGUAGGUGGAAUUCUUGGUGUAGGGGUAAAAUCCGUAGAGAUCAAGAGGAAUACUCAUUGCGAAGGCGACCUGCUAGAACAUAACUGACGCUGAUGCGCGAAAGCGUGGGGAGCAAACAGGAUUAGAUACCCGGGUAGUC
rnacentral:rRNA from 1 species